rnacentral:rRNA from 1 species
CAACAGGGAUUGCCCCAGUAACGGCGAGUGAAGCGGCAAGAGCUCAAAUUUGAAAUCUGGCCCUCUCAGGGUCCGAGUUGUAAUUUGUAGAGGGUGCUUUGGCGUCGGCCCCGGCCUAAGUUCCUUGGAACAGGACGUCACAGAGGGUGAGAACCCCGUACGUGGCCGCCGGCCUUCGCCGUGUAAAGCCCCUUCGACGAGUCGAGUUGUUUGGGAAUGCAGCUCUAAAUGGGAGGUAAAUUUCUUCUAAAGCUAAAUACUGGCCAGAGACCGAUAGCGCACAAGUAGAGUGAUCGAAAGAUGAAAAGCACUUUGGAAAGAGAGUCAAAAAGCACGUGAAAUUGUUGAAAGGGAAGCGCUUGCAGCCAGACUUGCCUGUAGUUGCUCAUCCGAGCUCCCGCUCGGUGCACUCUUCUGCGGGCAGGCCAGCAUCAGUCCGGACGGUCGGAUAAAGGCUCCGGGAAUGUAGCUCCCCUCGGGGAGUGUUAUAGCCCGGAGUGCCAUGCGACCAGCCUGGACUGAGGUCCGCGCAUCUGCUAGGAUGCUGGCGUAAUGGCUGUAAGCGGCCCGUCUUGAAACACGGACCAAGGAGUCUAACAUCUAUGCGAGUGUUUGGGUGUCAAGCCCGGGCGCGCAAUGAAAGUGAACGGAGGUGGGAACCCCUCGGGGCGCACCAUCGACCGAUCCUGAUGUCUUCGGAUGGAUUUGAGUAAGAGCAUAGCUGUUGGGACCCGAAAGAUGGUGAACUAUGCCUGAAUAGGGUGAAGCCAGAGGAAACUCUGGUGGAGGCUCGCAGCGGUUCUGACGUGCAAAUCGAUCGUCAAAUUUGGGCAUAGGGGCGAAAGACUAAUCGAACUAUCUAGUAGCUGGUUCCUGCCGAGUCCUCCUC